ACGAAACAGAAAAUACCUCUUGCCAAACACUAUAGUGAAGUUUCCUGAUUACUGCAGCAACAGGAGAGGAAAUGUUGUUUCCACUUCACUUACUUCCAGGCUUCCUGGAAUAUUACAUUGCCUGGUGCUACUCUCUGAUCAUGACAUAAUCCUUAACUAUUGUUUUUCUUUCACAAAUUAAUUCUGUGAGUUGCCUGCAGACAAAGCCAGUAACGCUUGAUCACUAAGGACAACAAUCUGAAACAGUUUGGAAAUGCCUAUCUCAACGUUCAUGCUGAUCUAAUGAAUCCUCUGAGAAAAUAAGUACUCAAUCACACCUCACAAAAGAGAGGAAUCAAGGCAGCAUUUCAGAGAAUUCAGCCGGACUAUCGGAUACCAGCGCACAGCCUUGUCUUACACAACAGACCUGAAACCCAUGUUAUCUUCAUCCUGUGGGAGUCCUUGAACCCUUUAAUGCAGAAAUGUGUGUCUGACUGCAAAGGUUUUGCUGUAUUUCAUGGGCAAGGUUAAACCGAACAGCUGAACUGACUGCUGAAAGUGGACUGCCAGCUUCAGAAGGACUAGCGUUAAUUGUGGCUGGGAGAUGGUUUAAGAAGAUUCCACUUCUGAAUCUCUCAUUAGGAAUUCUCACCUGACUGGCCAAAGCAGCUGGAAUUAGCAUAUGUUAAG
rnacentral:lncRNA from 1 species